rnacentral:rRNA from 1 species
CAGUGGGGAAUCUUGCACAAUGGAGGAAACUCUGAUGCAGCGAUGCCGCGUGAGUGAAGAAGGCCUUUGGGUUGUAAAGCUCUUUUGUAGGGGAAGAUAAUGACUGUACCCUAAGAAUAAGGUCCGGCUAACUUCGUGCCAGCAGCCGCGGUAAUACGAAGGGACCUAGCGUAGUUCGGAAUUACUGGGCGUAAAGCGCGCGUAGGCCGUUGAGUUAGUUAAUUGUGAAAUCCCAAAGCUUAACUUUGGAACUGCAAUUAAAACUGCUCGACUAGAGUUUGAUAGAGGAAAGCGGAAUACAUAGUGUAGAGGUGAAAUUCGUAGAUAUUAUGUAGAACACCAGUUGCGAAGGCGGCUUUCUGGAUCAACACUGACGCUGAGGCGCGAAAGUAUGGGUAGCAAAGAGGAUUAGAUACCCUGGUAGUCCGGU